rnacentral:snRNA from 1 species
CUUUUGGCCUUGUAAUGUUUUAAU